AGUGAACGCUGGCGGCAUGCCUAAUACAUGCAAGUCGAACGGCAGCACACUAAUAGCUUGCUUUUACGAGUUGCGAGUGGCGGACGGGUGAGGAAUAUAUCGGAACUUACUUUUUCGUUGGGGCUAACGUAGGGAACGUUACCCUAAUACCGCAUACGACCUACGUCUGAAAGCAGGGGAUCUUCGGAUCUUUAUGGUUACAAUGUGCGUUUGUCGGAUUAGCUAGUUGGCGGGGUAAAGGCCCACCAAGGCGACGAUCCAUAGCUGGUCUGAGAGGAUGAUCAGCCACACUGGAACUGAGACACGGUCCAGACUCCUACGGGAGGCAGCAGUGGGGAAUAUUGGACAAUGGGCGCAAGCCUGAUCCAGCCAUGCCGCGUGGGUGAAGAAGGACUUCGGGUUGUAAAGCCCUUUUGUUGGGGAAGAAAGGCAGCAGGUUAAUAACCCGCUGUUGUGACGGUACCCAAAGAAUAAGCAACGGCUAACUUCGUG
rnacentral:rRNA from 1 species